rnacentral:rRNA from 1 species
UAGAGUGUGGGAGAGGAAGAUGGAAUUAGUUGUGUAGGGGUAAAAUCCGUAGAGAUAACUAGGAAUACCAAAAGCGAAGGCAAUCUUCUGGAACACUACUGACGCUGAGGCGCGAAAGCGUGGGGAGCAAACAGGAUUAGAUACCCUGGUGGUCCACGCCCUAAACGAUGAAUGUUAGUCGUCGGGUAGCUAGUCUAUUCGGUGAUGCAGCUAACGCAUUAAACAUUCCGCCUGGGGAGUACGGUCGCAAGAUUAAAACUCAAAGGAAUAGACGGGGACCCGCACAAGUGGUGGAGCAUGUGGUUUAAUUCGAAGAUACGCGAAGAACCUUACCUAGCCUUGACAUAUAUUAGAACUCAGUAGAGAUACAGAGGUGCCUUCGGGAGCUUUUAUACAGGUGCUGCACGGCUGUCGUCAGCUCGUGUCGUGAGAUGUUGGGUUAAGUCCCGCAACGAGCGCAACCCUCGUCACUAGUUACUAACGGUUCGGCCGAGGACUCUAGUGAGGCUGCCUUCGUAAGGAGGAGGAAGGUGAGGACGACGUCAAGUCAUCAUGGCCCUUACGGCUAGGGCAACACACGUGCUACAAUGGCCAGGACAGUGAGAAGCGAUACCGCGAGGUGGAGCAAAUCUAUAAACCUGGUCUCAGUUCGGAUUGUAGUCUGCAACUCGACUACAUGUAGCUGGAAUCACUAGUAAUCGUAGAUCAGCUAUGCUACGGUGAAUACGUUCCCGGGUCUUGUACUCACCGCCCGUCACACCAUGGGAGUUGAUUUCACCCGAAGCGGGGAAGCUAAACUGGCUACCCUCCACGGUGGAAUUAGCGACUGGGGUGAAGUCGUAACAAGGUAACC